rnacentral:rRNA from 1 species
UAAAGGGUGCGUAGGCGGUUGAGUAAGUCUGACGUGAAUCUCCGAGCCUAACUCGGAAACUGCGUUGGAUACUAUUCAGCUAGAGGAAUGGAGGGGAGACUGGAAUACUUGGUGUAGCAGUGAAAUGCGUAGAUAUCAAGUGGAACACCAGUGGCGAAGGCGAGUCUCUGGACAUUUCCUGACGCUGAGGCACGAAAGCCAGGGGAGCAAACGGGAUUAGAUACCCCGGUAGUCCUGGCCCUAAACGGUGCGCGUUUGCUGUAAGUGGAAUCGACCCCACUUGUGGCGGAGUUAACACGGUAAACGCGCCGCCUGGGAAGUACGGCCGCAAGGUUAAAACUCAAAGAAAUUGACGGGGGCCUGCACAAGCGGUGGAGUAUGUGGCUUAAUUCGAUGCAACGCGAAGAACCUUACCUGGCCUUGACAUGCAAAUAGUAGAAGGGUGAAAGCCCGACGAGAUAGCAAUAUCAGUUUGCACAGGUGCUGCAUGGCUGUCGUCAGCUCGUGUCGUGAGAUGUAGGGUUAAGUCCCGCAACGAGCGCAACCCCUGUGUCCUGUUGCCACCCCUUAAGUGGGAGCACUCUGGACAGACUGCCUCGCUUCAACGAGGAGGAAGGUGGGGAUGACGUCAAGUCAGUAUGGCCCUUACGGCCAGGGCUGCACACGUACUACAAUGCCCGGUACAAAGGGACGCAAGACCGCAAGGUGGAGCAAAUCUCCUAAAACCGGGCCCAGUUCAGAUUGUCGUCUGCAACUCGACGGCAU